GGUUGGUGAGGGCAGUCUAGUCAACAUCUGUCACUCCAUUGCUUGUCAGGAUUCUUUUAGCCGAUUUGUCUGACUGGGCAGGUGUCCCCUCUCUCCCUCAGUGCUCCAUGUGCAUCCCUCUUGAAGCUUCGCACUCUGUUGAAGAGGACACCAUCCCAGGUAGAGAGGGGGACGGGAAACUGGGCCAAUUGAAUCUAUGUCCUUUUCUUUCCAUCAGAUCAAGGAUACUUAACUGGGAUCCAUUGACUUCCUGAGGUCCGUGACCUCUGUGAAAUUCCUU
rnacentral:snRNA from 1 species